rnacentral:rRNA from 1 species
AAUGAACGCUGGCGGCAUGCCUAACACAUGCAAGUCGAACGAAGCCUUCGGGCUUAGUGGCGCACGGGUGCGUAACGCGUGGGAAUCUGCCCUUGGGUUCGGAAUAACAGUUAGAAAUGACUGCUAAUACCGAAUGAUGUCGUAAGACCAAAGAUUUAUCGCCCAGGGAUGAGCCCGCGUAGGAUUAGGUAGUUGGUGUGGUAAAGGCGCACCAAGCCGACGAUCCUUAGCNGGUCUGAGAGGAUGAUCAGCCACACUGGGACUGAGACACGGCCCAGACUCCUACGGGAGGCAGCAGUGGGGAAUAUUGGACAAUGGGCGAAAGCCUGAUCCAGCAAUGCCGCGUGAGUGAUGAAGGCCUUAGGGUUGUAAAGCUCUUUUACCCGGGAUGAUAAUGACAGUACCGGGAGAAUAAGCUCCGGCUAACUCCGUGCCAGCCGCCGCGGUAA